AGGACUUCUGAAUACAAAAAACAAUGGCCAGGUCUAGCGCUGGAUGGUGAACUGGAUUUCUGGUUUUGAUAGUUUUCACUCUGAAUGAUAAGCACGUGAUAUGUCCUUUAGAAAUGCUGAUGGAUCAGUGAGAUAGAAUCCAUUUUGUACACUGCUACUUUUUCACUCCCACUUCACUAUCAAAUCUCUAUGUAUGGGUGCCACUAAGAAGGGUCCUGGAUUCCUCUGAGGCUAAACAGUUUAUUUUAUUAUUACUAUAUAGUAGCAUAUGUGUGCCUGGUGCUUUACAGAUAAGUAAGAAGACAAGGUCCUUGCCCUGAUGAGUUUAGGAUCUAUCUUACAGAGACAAAACAACAAAACUGAUGAUAUUUCUGGAGAUAGAGUGGGGUCACCUGACAACGUAGUUGUCCCUUGAUAAAUUUGCAAGAGAAUGAUUCCACUCUGUGGCGAGCCCCGCUAUAUCUCUAGAAUAAUUAUUGAGCAUACCCAGGGGAGUGGGCAGUUUGCUUUGGCAUGUUGCCUUACCACUAGUUAUUUAAUAUUAGCUCAUCUCCAGUCCUGAUAUAUGGUAUGUGCGGGUUUUUUCAGUUCUGGGGCCACUGUUUGUUUUUAAAAUGGGGAGUGAAAACUGGCUUUUCUGAACAAUACUUGUAAGAACUUGUGCUAACAUCCUGCUAUUCUGAUGUUUUCCAUAUGGGGGCAUGAGUGUACCUGGACACUGCAACUACAGCACCAGCAGUGUAAUUCAGUCCUAAUGACUUUGGAGGGCUCUACGAAUCUAGACAGGAGAUGCCACUGAGAUCAAGUGGAGUCCCUCACACGAAGGGAAAGCAGAAUAUGGGAGCUGAAUACCUCCAAUCCUCAGGGUCAGCCCUUCAGGAACUUCUCCCUGCCUGAGACAGGAAAUGACCUGAGACAAUGCAGAUCAGGGAAUAAUCGUCAGAUGACCUUGGCAAGAUAUACCCAAGAACUUCGGCUUUAAUUAUUUUUGAAAACAUGAAUGCUCUGUAACAAUGGUUAUGAGAUCCCUGGAAUAUCUUUUAUGAAGUUCACAUUUUAAAUAGUCCUUGGGUAUGAAAUUUUAAAACUUAUACAUCUAUGUAUUGAACUGUGCUUUCUUAAAAUAGAAAACUGGCAUGUUUGUAUUUUGUUUCAGGUUACCAAGGGCUUCAUAAAUAAAAAGACUAAGAAUCAA